CUAACACAUGCAAGUCGAACGAAGGCUUUGCCCUUAGUGGCGCACGGGUGCGUAACGCGUGGGAAUCUGCCCUUGGGUUCGGAAUAACAGCGAGAAAUUGCUGCUAAUACCGGAUGAUGACGUAAGUCCAAAGAUUUAUCGCCCAAGGAUGAGCCCGCGUAGGAUUAGCUAGUUGGUGGGGUAAAGGCCUACCAAGGCGACGAUCCUUAGCUGGUCUGAGAGGAUGAUCAGCCACACUGGGACUGAGACACGGCCCAGACUCCUACGGGAGGCAGCAGUGGGGAAUAUUGGACAAUGGGCGAAAGCCUGAUCCAGCAAUGCCGCGUGAGUGAUGAAGGCCUUAGGGUUGUAAAGCUCUUUUACCCGGGAAGAUAAUGACUGUACCGGGAGAAUAAGCCCCGGCUAACUCCGUGCCAGCAGCCGCGGUAAU
rnacentral:rRNA from 1 species